UACGUAGGGUGCAAGCGUUAUCCGGAAUUAUUGGGCGUAAAGAGCUCGUAGGCGGUUUGUCGCGUCUGCUGUGAAAACUGGAGGCUCAACCUCCAGCCUGCAGUGGGUACGGGCAGACUAGAGUGCGGUAGGGGGAGAUUGGAAUUCCUGGUGUAGCGGUGGAAUGCGCAGAUAUCAGGAGGAACACCGAUGGCGAAGGCAGAUCUCUGGGCCGUAACUGACGCUGAGGAGCGAAAAGCAUGGGGAGCGAACAGG
rnacentral:rRNA from 1 species